AUUGAACGCUGGCGGCAGGCCUAACACAUGCAAGUCGAACGAGUGGCGGACGGGUGAGCAAUGUCUGGGCAACUGCCUGAUGGAGCGGGAUAACUACUGGAAACGGUAGCUAAUACCGCAUACCAUCAGAUGUGCCCAGUUGGGAGUAGCUAGUUGGUGGGGUAACGGCUUACCAAGGCGACGAUCCCUAGCUGGUCUGAGAGGAUGACCGGCCACACUGGAACUGAGACACGGUCCAGACUCCUACGGGAGGCAGCAGUGGGGAAUAUUGCACAAUGGGCGAAAGCCUGAUGCAGCCAUGCCGCGUGUGUGAAGAAGGCCUUCGGGUUGUAAAGUACUUUCAGCGGGGAGGCGUUACCCACAGAAGAAGCACCGGCUAACUCCGUGCCAGCAGCCGCGGUAAUUC
rnacentral:rRNA from 1 species